ensembl:lncRNA
GUGUGAAGUGGAGGGCCCCCUCAACUACAGACCAAGACUGGCUGCAUGUAUCACCCAGCAGAGCUGUACUCUGGCCGUAACACAUGGGACUCCUAUCCAGCUGGAGGGCCUAACAGAGGACAAUGGGCUCCUGAACACGGUCGCCUCUGGAGCCACGCAAACCGAUGCCAAGAAGGGCGCAAUCAAUCACAUCAUCCGCUACCAAGUCGUCUUUAUAAUAGGGGGGAGCGAACAGUUAACCAUGUUCAGGACAAAGGGAUCUCAAAGGGGCACAGGCAGCAUCCGCGUCUCUGGGACAGUAAAGAGCAGCAGUUUGAGGCCCAGAACUGGCAUCACAACUCCACACGCUCCUUCCACAACCGGGCUGCCCCUAACAACGGUUAUCUAACCGGACCCGCAGAGCGCUACGCCACCUGGGACAACAAUGUCGGCAACUCUGUGAACGGGGGUUCUCGUCCGCAUCGCAACAACAGAGAGCUCCAUUCCCCGCCAGAGAGAUGGGCCCCCUCAGACUGCCGCAGGAGCUUCCCAGGCAGAAUGAUAAACAACCGGCCGGGGCCCUGGAAGCGGCCUGCCCUCCAUCAGCGGCGAGACCAAUUACACCAGCACAGCCCACCCCCACAGCACCCUUUGUCCCCGAGGGAAGAGUGUCCUGCUAAGAGGAGAAGGGAUUCUGGCUCGGAUCAGUCAUCUCUCCCUGGAUCAAGACAUUUACCUUUACUUGCCCACACACCGUCACCACCUCGCCACCACCGCUGUCACCAAGAUGACUGGAAGCCUCUCAAUGACAGGGCGGGUCCUUGCCACCACUCUGACCACAGGACCUCGACAACGCAGCAACAGGAAACCUCUAAACUUCGAGCUGGAGGACACGGCUUCGCUGACGGUGACCCAGCAGCUCCAAACCAGAGCUGUGGCAGCAGGCCGCCACAUCACGGAAGCCGAGGGAAGGUCGAGCGGAAAAUCUUGUCUUCACCAGCAGACCACACCCGUGUGCCUUACAGCCACCAAAACCACCAUUACCACUAUCAACGGCACACAGGCCGCCCCCGAGCCCCACAGCACAACCUGCCGCUAUACCCUCUAGAGGAGAGGGACUCACGGAGCCAUCACCACAAACAAAGCACAGAAUCUCAACGCACUCAUCACAGAGGCAUUUCAAGGGAUCCAGCCAUCUCCCAUUCUUCUGGUGCAGACUCUCCUCCCUAUUCGCCCCUCCUCUGCAGCCCUAAAGAUGGAGGCUCCACUGCCAGCAGUCCACCUGCCCCCUCCAGCCCUUCUUCAUACAUGGCAGCCAUCGGCAGAAAAGAUCCAUCAAUCAUUCAUCAGUUUAGCCCUGGCCUCAGUGGACAGCAGAAACUCCAGGGGAGCACAGCCAGACCCAGCCUGACAUCCGCCAUGUCUGUCACAGCUCACGGCGGUCCAAAAUCCAGGUUCUCAGACAUCAAGUACAGAAAGACUUCGCAGCCCCUCUGCUCACGGCUGCUCCCGCACGGCAGAUCGAGAGCAAACAAGCUCGACGCGGAGCUGGAAGAACACAAGAACCCUGAGUGCAAACAAAAAGAUAAGCUGGGGAAAAAGGAGAGAAAGGGAGAUGUUCAAAAGACAAACAGAAAGGGCGAGGAAAGAAGAAGGCGGAAGAAAAAAGAGGAGAGGAGGUUGGGAGAACGUAAAAAGAAAAGAGAUAAGGCGGUGAAAAAAGAAAGAAAGUUGGGCUUGAAAAUCACAAAGAAGGAAACGUGCACCACCAUGUCCAGCUCUUCAGUAGAGGUCAAAAUGAGUAAAAUGGAGACUACAACUCUGACCCCCGAGAGUCGAAGCCAGUCAACACCCAAACACAAGCACAGGGCGAGGAGUGAACGAGCAGAGGGGACACACAGGCCGUCUGCCAAUACGCCUCACCACAGCUCGAAAUCGGAAAAAAAUCACAAAAUGUCCAAAAACAACAACAGUCCCAAGAAACUCCCCGUCAAGAAACUUCUAAUGAAGCCUCCUCCCAACCGGACCAGCAAGAAGCCCAGCGUCGUCCCGUCCCAGUCGGAAGACGGACCAAAAGAAAAGCCUGAUGACGCUCUCCCUUCACUUUUAUUCAAGGCCUUAGCACCUCUCAGUGCAGCAUGUUCCGUUAGCUUAGCGCAGCCCAUCCAUGGCAAGGACGUUGGCCAGGGGGGAGGUCUCAACGCCCCGGACCUCCAGCCUGUGGCG